rnacentral:rRNA from 1 species
UGCGAUAUGGGGACUCCGAGUGCGAGGGCAUAUCAGUCCUCGCUUUUUUGUGCCGUAAAGGGUACACCAACAAGGACUGGGCAAGAACGGUGCCAGCCGCCGGGGUAAUUCCGGGAGCCCGAGUGAUGGCCGAUCUUUUUGGGCCUAAAGCGUCCGUAGCUGGGUGCGCAAGUCCGUCGGGAAAUCCACCCGCCCAACGAGUGGGCGUCCGGCGGAAACUGGGCAGCUUGGGACCGGAAGGCUCCAAGGGUACGUUCGGGGUAGGAGUGAAAUCCCGUAAUCCUGGACGGACCACCGAUGGCGAAAGCACUUCGAGAAAAACGAUUCGACCGUGAGGGGCGAAAGCUAGGGUCCCCAACGGAAUAGAUACCCGGGUAGUUCUAGCGGAAACAUGUCCGUAGGUUGGCACCAAUACCAUCUGUGGCUGUGCCGUAGGAAGCGAUAACGAACGCUGGGAAGUACGUCCGCAGGAUGAAAUUAAGAUUUUACGGGA